rnacentral:rRNA from 1 species
UACAGAGGGUGCGAGCGUUAAUCGGAAUUACUGGGCGUAAAGCGUGCGUAGACGGUUAUUUAAGUCGGAUGUGAAAGCCCCGGGCUCAACCUGGGAAUUGCAUUCGAGACUGAAUAGCUAGGGUGCGGUAGAGGGAAGCGGAAUUUCCGGUGUAGCGGUGAAAUGCGUAGAUAUCGGAAGGAACAUCAGUGGCGAAAGCGGCUCACUGGCCCGGUACUGACGCUGAGGUGCGAAAGCGUGGGGAGCAAACAGGG